UACGUAGGGGGCAAGCGUUGUCCGGAAUCAUUGGGCGUAAAGAGCGUGUAGGCGGCCCGGUAAGUCCGCCGUGAAAGUCCAGGGCUCAACCCUGGAAUGCCGGUGGAUACUGUCGGGCUAGAGUCCGGAAGGGGCGAGUGGAAUUCCUGGUGUAGCGGUGAAAUGCGCAGAUAUCAGGAGGAACACCGAUGGCGAAGGCAGCUCGCUGGGACGGUACUGACGCUGAGACGCGAAAGCGUGGGGAGCAAACAGG
rnacentral:rRNA from 1 species